rnacentral:rRNA from 1 species
GCGCCUAACACAUGCAAGUCGAACGAGAAAGCGGGGGCAACCUCGUGAGUAAAGUGGCGUACGGGUGAGUAACACGUGGAUUAUCUACCCUGGAGUGGGGAAUAACGCUGGGAAACCGGCGCUAAUACCGCAUAUUCCCGAGAGGGGAAAGCAGCAAUGCGCUCGAGGAGGAGUCCGCGGCCGAUUAGCUUGUUGGCAGGGUAAAAGCCUACCAAGGCUGUGAUCGGUAGCCGGCCUGAGAGGGCACACGGCCACACUGGCACUGAAACACGGGCCAG